AACUAAGACAGUCCAUGACUAAUCACAUUCAAUAAAAUAUCUCUGUUUAACUGACAUCAGUGUCUGAGUAUUUUGUGGGACAUUUCUUGGACCCUAACAAUACCAAUCUGGAUCCCAAAAUCCCUGAUGGAAAACAACUGUUCAUGACCUACUUCUCCCAGAGUUCCCCUAACAUUAGAGCCAAACUUAAAUGAAGAAGUCUUAGAGGUGGCCUUCAAGGUGUGUACCAUGGGAGAGACUAAAAAGCCUCAAACAAAAGAACCUGAUGUUGGCUAAGGUCUUUCAACUGACUAUAGCAACUGCACAGACUCUCUUGCCUCCCAAAGCUGGAGGACUUUGGGCCCAGUCACUGGGCCCAGGCCUGCCUGAGCCCUCUUAAAUCACUGUAGAGGAGUUUUAAUCCCAUAGCAUGGCUGCUCUGAUCACAUUCAAGACUUUGUAGGUCUAUGGGCUCUAGCUGGAAUGCAGACAUGCGGCACACCUUCCCUCUGGCUUGAAUACAGACAUGCCCUUAAUACACACCUUCAAUCCCAAACAAUGUUGUCUAAUUGAGGAACAGAUAAGGUGACAAAUCAGAGAAAGCAUUGACAAAAUAAGAUAUACUCAACUUUCACAAGAACAGCACAGGAGAGGCUACUUAAAAGAGCACAGGGUGUCAGUUUGUCAGUUAAGUUAGUCGUUGGAAUUCAGUUGGAAGGUUGAUGUCAUUAUGCAGAUGAAGGCAGGUGCAGGGUGGAACUAGGCCUGUCAUUGGAUGAGAAAAUUUUUAGAGAGGCUGAGGCGGCUAGAGCAAGGAAGGAGCCGAAAGAACAUGGAGGCAGAUGUUAAGAUUCCCCUCUGCACAUAUUACAGGCCACCUGACUAUGAAGAGAAAGAAGGGCAAAGCAAGACAAACAGAUUUAAAGGAAUUUACUUUGCAAUGACUGCUCUCAGUAAGGACUACCACUGUCUCUGGAAAAUGGUUAGAUGGAAAACGUGUGACCUUAAGUAAGUUCUGAGGGUCUGAGAAAGUGUCUGAAGAUAUGAAAGUUGGUGUUUUAAGGUAAGUAAAUUCAAGUUAUAAAGGUAUAAGAAAGCAAUCUAAGGUAAGAAAAAUGUUUCAGAUUUCUUACCUCUGCUAUUUUGAAGGUUUGAAGUUUAAUAUUGACCAAUGGAGUUCUGCUAAGCAGCCAGGGAGGCCACACAAGCAUUCACUACCAACACUCUGGUAGCCUUACCAUCACAGCACUCCCAGCCAUCCCUGAAUGGGACAAAUAGGAUCAGGCCAAAUGUCAAGAGCUUUACCAGGGAAAGAGAUGGCUACAUACUGCAAAGGGCUCUACCAUCUUAUCCACGAGUUCACUAAACAACCCAUUCAUCAGAUUCAUCAAUCAUCACAACUGGGUGACUAAAAGCUAAAGGAACUACUCUGAGAGCCAUGAUACAAAAUAUUUAAUAUAGGCCAACUAAAAGACUAGGUAAUUUCAAAUUGCCCUACCUGUCAGGCCAUGAACCCCUCUGGCACCAAUCGAAAUUUCAGAAACCAGAAUCAGAAGCCAACGACCAGGAGCCUAUUGAGACAUAGACUACACUGAGGUAAAACCAGGCAUAUAUGGAUACAAAUAUCUGCUAAUUUUUAUAAACAGAAUGGGUAGAAGCCUACCCUACAGAGGAGACUGCCAGAGUAGUAACACAGACACUGGGGAAGACAUCAUACCCAGGUAUGGUUUCUUACCCUGCUUGGGUCUGACAAUGACCAGCGUCCAUCUCCUAGGUUCUGGGGACCAGUUGGUGCCAGAGCCUGCCAGCCAAUCAACAGGAAAAACUACAACUGGGGGAGUGAGGAUUUGAAAGAAGAGUCAGAGAGAUUAGGAGUCAGGAGGGCUAACAGUAAGUACUGUGUGGUGAGUUUAUUCUCUCAGUGUCUUUUUAAAGGCAAAGAAGACAACGCACGACCAAUUCCAGGAAGUUAAACAAUGGCCACAUGCUUGCCUGGCAAGUUUAUGGUACACAGUAUCUCUGUUUGAUCAAGGCCAUUUCCUUCAGGCUUGGACAGUCCUUCAAGGACAUAUGCGUAAGUGGAGGAACUUGGCAGGAUAUAAUACAUGCCUGAACUAAAAACAAAGAUGUCAGCGGACUCAUUCAUGAUUAAUCACAAGCAAGAAGUCAGCCAAAGUUGACUCCAGAUGUGCUCCCCACAUAUUGGAAAUUACACUGUAUAUGUAGACCCCAGGGUUCUGGGUAGGUAGAGAGGAUGAAUAGGACCCUGAAGGAGGCCUUGACCAAAUUAACCCUUGAAACUGGCAGUGAUUAGGUGUCUCUCCUACCUUAUGCCUUGUAUAAGGCCAGGAAUACUCCUUAUACCUUCGGUCUUACCCCCUUUGAAAUCCUAGAUGGGAAACCCCCUCCCAUACUGCCAAACUCCAGUCUGACAUUCUAGUUGAAUAUGACCAACAUAAGUUCUUAAAAUGCUUGGAGGUUCUCCAUAGAGUCCAGAAGGAACUCUGGCCUGCUGUACAUGAGGUUCGAGUCUACUCCUCCCCGUAACCUCCAUUGCUUUGAACCAGGUGACAAAGUCUGGGUUAAGAGACCCAAUAAAGUCCUAGCAAGGCCAGAUCCCCAGCCUUUGCCCACAUCUAUUCCCAUUCCCACCUCAACACCAAGAGGCAACUUCACCAGCCUCCUGCUCCAACAAAACCCCACUUCACCACCUGCAUCAGAACCCCUGCAACUGUUGAAAGCUUCAUUGCAUGUACUUAACUCCACUCAGCCAGAUUUGACACAGGACUGUUGGUUAUGCUUAAAUAGUCAACUCCCCUUUUAUGAAGGACAGACCGAGCACAUUGGUUCUGGUGUGGGGCGCAUGGGUGGCGGCAUGGGUUUUGGCAUGGAGCAGAUAGCCACACCCAUUGACCAUGUGGGCCAAACCAUUGAGCACACGGGCUCUGGUGUAAAGCCCAUGGGUCAAAUGGUGCUCACAGGCAUGGGGGCCAUCCUGGAGCUCAUGGGCAUUCAGCGCAUGGGAGCCAACAGUCUUGAGUUCAUGGGAGCCAACGGUCUUGAGCACACAGGCCUGGAAUGAAUGGGAGACAACAGCCUGGAACACACGAGCCCUGCCAUGGGCCCAGCAUUGGGCACUGGUUCUGAGCGAAUGGACCUGGCCAUGGGUGAUGCCGGAGGUGUUAGUUUUGACUGACAUAUUGAGAUGGGCAGGCAACUUUGGAGGAAGCUUCGCAGGUUCCUUUGGCAGAGCUGGAGGUCACAUACCUGGAGUAGCCAAGAAGGCCUGCCAGAUAUUUGUGAGAAAUCUCCCAUUUGACUUUACAUGAAAGAUACUAAAGGACAAAUUCAAUGAAUGUAGCCAUGUGCUGUACACCGACAUCAAGAUGGAGAACGGAAAGUCCAAGAGGUGCGGUGUGGUUAAGUUUGAGUGUCCAGAGGUGGCUGAGAGAGCCUGCCAGAUGAAUGGCAUGAAGCCAUGUGGUCUAGAGAAUGAUGUUCGAAUUACUAGAAAGGCUUAAGUAUGCCUUUUUUAAACAUUAAUACCAGACCUCUGAAUUUGUAUUUUUUUCUUGUUAACCAGUUUAAUUUGUUGGCUAGAUGUACAAAGAUGUUUUAAAAAAUUAUGAGAUACCAUUUGUCGAUUCUUGAUCUUAGAGCAUAAGCCAUUGGUGUUUUGUGCCCCUGCCUGCAGGGGCUCCGUAAUUUACAGGAACUGAGGGAGAUCCAAACCUGUGAAGGAAUGAGCGAGAAAGAGGAACAAGACCAAGCAGUGUCCUUGUCAAGUUGUGGCAUCUUGUUGACAUCGAAUAUGACUUUGAUAAUAAAUACUGGUUCCUGAAAAAAAAAUUAAAUUCUUGUCUUUUCUGUAAAAUGCAAUAAAACAAACCUUGUACUUACCCCUCCCCAAUGACUGAACUCAGAGGCUCCAAAACUAGUUUUAGUGAAAGUUCUAAUCAGUCGUAUAUGCCAACUAUUCUUCAUAAUCAGGAAUGUCUGCCCAGCCAGAUAAAACUGCUGUGGAGUUCCUAUCAGAGAAGAACACUAAAACAUAGGCUAUGAGACUAUUAAAAGUCUUUAUUCCAGCCAGCUGAUGACUACAACUGGGUAUUCGUGACCCACAUGUAAUGCUGAGCCUUUCUCAGAGUCCAUAUUUAAAACCACAUCCUGGCUGGAAAGUCCCCAGUUAGAAUGAACACACACACACACACACACACACACACACACACACACAGAGUAGAAUUCUGGUAGAGUCAUAUCUUGAGUAAACAUUAAGGUGAGAUAGUUGUUUUUCAUGGUUAUCUAGAGUAAAUAUUAAAAUGAAUAGUUGUGGGCUGGAGAGAUGGUUCAGCAGUUAAGAACACUGACUGCGCUCUUCCAGAGGUCCUGAGUUCAAUUCCCAGCAAACACAUGGUGGCUCACAACCAUCUGUAAUGGAAUCUGGUGGCCUCUUCUGGUGUGUCUGAAGACAACUACAGUGUACUUAUACAUAAAAUAAAUAAAUAAAAUGAAUAAUUGUUUUUUAGAAGUACUUAGAGUUUCAACAAAUCAUUGUGGUAAACAGUGAUUGUUUUCUGUGAUUUAUGUAGGGCCCUGCUUAACAUUACAAACCCCAUUUUACUUUUAGACUCUAUUUCAUGUUUAACUUGCCCUUUGAUUGAACUCAGUUACUGGAAAAACCCCAACGUGUUACAGGAACUGAUAUAUUCCUAGCAACAGCUACUCUACCCUUAGUAACAACCAAUUAGCUCUUAGGAGGACUAAUGUUCUAGAUAUGUUGUGAGAUAAAUUGCUUAAGCUAGCCACUAUUGUUCAUACCAAGUUGAAAUCAUUACUAGCCAAUGGAAAUGUACCAAGCUACAAUUUCCAAAUGUCAACAAUGGUGUAACUGCCAAAGUAGAAAGCCCCUUACCCUGCUGUAACUGUGAUAAAAAGGCAAGGCUUUACCAGCUUAGGGUAUUCCGCACCCAUCUAUUGCUUUGGAGAGGUUAGAGGGUCUGAGCUUGAAUAACAACUCUUUGCUUUUACAUACAAGGGGGAUUCUUGGGGGUCUCUGGUGGUCUGUGGAAACCUCGAAAUAUGGGCAUAACAGUUUAUAGAGUUGUAAAUUUCAGCAAACUUUACAAGCUUGGCAUGAUUUUAGUCACAAAACAGUCCUGACACAUCUAGAGCAUCUUGCAUUAUUGGGUACUUCAACUGGUACACAAUAAGGACUAUUGUCCCAGAGGUGUAAUAUUUUCCUUCACAAAACAUAUAGAGUAGACCAGGGGCUUUGGUAUGUGGAACUUGUUUUGAAAAGUUCUCAGGGAGAACUUUCCCUCAGGAAGGAGACCCUCAAGCCCAUCGACCAGACCGAGACCAAUGGAUGCAAUCAGCAAGAGGGUUUAUUAUCAGGAUACACAGGCACCUGUGGGCGCUUCGGUCAACUCAGGGGACUGGCGCGCCCCGCGGAACCAGGGACGGGUUUUUUAUAGGGUUCUGGGGAGCAGAAGCAAGCAUACAGAAGCAGAUGCAUGGUUACAGGGACAUAAUUGGUGGAUUCUAAUGAGGUGAGGGUUCAGCCCGGGGGCAAGUUCCCUGGCCGCCUUCCUGGAACAUAACGGCUGACUUGGCCCUCCUCUAGGGUGUGGGACCUCUCCCGGGGCUUUCCAUUUCCCCCUUUUGCUGCCAGGCGCUCAACCACAAACAUCCUGUUUGGCAGCCGCCGUGUUCUCAGUGUUCUGACCCUUCCCUGAACCAGUCAUCUAAGUACAGUCUUGCAAAAUGGCGUUACUGCUGCUAAGCCGGGGUCUCUCAGUUUUACUCAAAAAACCAACUUCUGUGUAAGAAUAAGUAUGUCUUUUUACAACUAUUCAAGAGUCAGUCCACAGAGGUUGGAUCCCUCUGCUGCCAAUAGGCAUUAAUAUGUCCAUGAGUGGCCCUAUUUCUUUGAUCAUUGUGGUGAUUUGAAUAGGUAUGGCCCCCAUAUGUUUGAUUCAUAUAUUUGUAGUAUGGACUCAUAUGUUUGAAUGCUUGGCUCAUAGACAGUAGCCCUCUUAGAAGGUGUGGCCUUGUUGGAAGAAGUAUGUCACUCUGGGUGGGGGUGAGGUGGGCUUGAGGUCUCCUAUGCUCAAUCUCUACCCAGUGUAGAAUACAAUCCUCUUCUGCUGCCUUUGGAUCAAGAUGUAGAACUCUUGGCUUCUCCAGCAUAGUGUCCGCCUGUAUGGUACCAUUUACAUCCACCAUGAUGAUAAUGAAAUAAAUCUCUAAAUUUUAAAUUUUUUUUAUUUUUUUUAAGAUUUAUUUUAUUUAUUCCAUGUAUGUAAGUACACUGUUGCUGUCUUCAGACACACCAGAAGAGGGCAUCAGAUCCCAUUAUGGAUGGUUGUGAGCCACCAUGCGGUUGCUGGGAUUUGAACUCAGGACCUCUGGAAGAGCAGUCAGUGCUCUUAACCACUGAGCCAUCGCUCCAGCCCAAUCUCUAAAUUUUAAGCUGGAUGCAAUUAAAUGGUUGUUUGUUUGUUUUUAAUAGGAGUUGCCAGGAUCGUGGUGUCUUUUCCCAGCAAUGGAAACCCUAACUAAGCUGGUCUGGAAUGGCUGCAGAAGAAACAGUAUGACAUGGUUCUCACCCUUGGAGCAGAGCCAUCAGGAUGUGGAUCUCCUAAAAUGCUGAUGGUUGCUGUAGGGGUAAAGCUUCUUUGUACAAUAGUGUGUGGCAGAACCUUACCCUAGUGAAUAAAGGUUUCAGCAGACUAAUCACUGGGUGAGGAAUAGGCAGGACUUCUAGAUCAGAGAGGGAAAGAGAGGAGGCAGGAAAAGGUGACUUGUUUUUGGACAGGGAGAACUUGGAGGAAAAAUGUAGCCAACUAGAGGCCCCUUGUUAGAAGGCGGGUCUGCCAGGAUUUGCCACUGGAGCAUUUAACAUAAAAUAGCUUACAAAUUAGGAUGUUAGUUGUUGUGCCCAGUGAUUGUUACCUGUUGAUUCUAAGCUAAGAUUGUGUGGUGUUUUCCUUCAUGAGGCAAUUCAUCUGGGUUCCAGAGAGAAAGGAACGGUGGCAGCAGGUGCUGUCACGGCAGCAACCUGACAUGGGAACUUAGUAAUUCGAGUGAAGAGAUUUCAGAGACCAGGGUCAGAGAUUCCGCUGAUAUGAGAACAGGCCAAUCCUGCUGACCAGCCUGCUGGUGGUAGUGUGGUAGCUUUUUUAGUAUUUCCUACUACAAUAAUGCACAUAUUUUCCUUCAUGUUUUGGUGAAUUUUCUCCUUAUCUAGAUUAUCAGGGGAUGUAAUCCAUGAUAAUCAGAAAGAUUCUGGGAUGCAAGAAUGUGUCUGGUGAUCCUGAACAAUAUGAUGAUGCAGUGACCUUUAGGACAGUCCUUAAGACUGUGGGAAAGAACUCUGAAAACAUGAGUUCAAAAAUACACAAACAGUGUGUAGUGACUAUUCCUAGUUGUCAAUUUGACUAUAUCAGGAAUGAACUACAAUCCAGAAUUGGAAGGCUCAUCAUUGAUCCUGAUCUUGAGGCUGGGAGAUACAAGUUUCUGACCUAGAUCUUGGUAUGGAGAUCUUGAGGCAAAGUGGUUCUGAAUCCCAGAAGCUGAAGGCAAGGAGAUCUCUGAGUUCAAGGUCACCUGGGACAAAGCAAGUCCCAGCUCCAGGCAUGGUGGUACAUACCUUUAAUCUGGACCACACCUUCUGCUGGAGAUCUACAUAAGGACACCAGAAGAAGGAAGAGUCUCUUUUUUUUCCGCCUGCAUGCCUGCCUGCCUGCCUGCCUUCUGAGACUGAGCCACUGCUAGAUCCUUGGACUUCCAUUCACAGUUGCUGCUGAUCAUUUUUGAGGAGUUAGACUACAGACUGUAAGCCAUCAAGCAAUUCUCUUACUAUAUAGAGACCACCCAUAAGUUCUGUGACUGUAGAGAACCCUGACUAAGACACAGUGUAAGAGCUGUUCUUUACAGGAUUUCUCAGCUACGUAAGAUAUAAGGAUACAAUAUGAAUUGUUUGAGGGGCUUCACAGACUUGAAAGAACAGAGGGAUCUUCACUGAGUCAGGUAAGUAAGAAAGAUAUUAAGGAAGGAGACAUGAUUUGGUCUUAGUGGUAAAGUGGUGGUGGUCUCCAUGGAAGCCAUCAGACAGAAAAAAAAGUCUGGUAUCAAAAAAAAAAAAGAGAGAGAGAGAGAGAGAGAGAGAGAAAGAAAAGAAAAAAAGAAAAGAAGAAAAAAAAGAAAGAAAAAGAAAAAAAUGAGAUUGCAUAAUACUUUUUUAAUUAUUUAUGUAUAUGAGUACACUGUAGCUAUCUUCAGACAUACCAGAAGAGGGCAUCAGAUUCCAUUAUAGACUGUUGUGAGCCACCAUGUGGUUGCUGAGAAUUGAACUCAGGAUCUCUGGAAGAGCAGUCAGUGCUCUUAACCACUGAGCCAUCUCUCUAGCCCCCUGCUGAAUACUUUUGAAUAAUAAGCCUUGGAGCUGAGAUAAAAAAGAAAAAAAAUCCAAAGAUUAAAAGAAUAUAUUGACCUGGGUUUGGUCCCCAGCUCCGGAAAAAAAAAAAAUAUUGAGGUAGCUAAGAAUUAUAAAAAUGUGUUUCAAUGCUGCUUAUAUUGGCACAAACAAGAGCUGGCUAAAUAAAUAAAUAAAUAAAUAAAUAAAUAAAUUAUACUUCAAGCUAAUUUUCUCACAUAAAAAUAGCCUCUAUAUCUAGACUUGACAACCACAAACUGUGUGCCCAGAAAACCACAUAGGACUUGCUAUAUUUAAAAAAAAAAAAUGUGUCUGUUCUCUGGUUCAUUUGCUUUGAAUGUGUUCUUUAUUUCAGUUUCUAUUUCUUAGCAUCAAGGGGCUAUGGUCAUAAAACGGUGAUCCAUAAAUGAUCAAAAGGGGACCUAGGGUAAAUAAUUAAACUGAUAUGCAAUUUCUAAGGAAGUAGCUUAUACAAGUAAAAGACAGGGCUUUGGUCUGUAAGAGAGUGCUAUCUAGAACAGAUCACAGAGCUGCCAGAUUGCAUCCAUCACUGACACUGAGUCAUUUCUCUACUGCUCCCAUUCACCCCUUCUUCAGCUUCUCUCAAGCUGAAAGUGGAAGUCAUCAUCCUGUAUGACUCCCGAACCCUGAUAUAAAUAUAUAGAAAGGAGAUUUAUUAAAAUGACUUACAGGCUGAGAUCCAACAACUAUAGCAAUAGUUGGCUAUGAACCGAAAAUUCAAGAAUCCAAUAUGGUGGCACUCAAGCUGCAGGAGCCCUUCCGUCUAGACUGCACCCGAAUCUGAAGGGACCCAGUCAAACAGCUCCCUACACCCAAAUCCCAUGGGAGGGAGAGCUAGACAUUCAGAGGGGCAGACACACCUGGGAAGCCAGAGGAGACUACUCUCUGCCCACAUUUCUGACUCUAGAGGAAAACACCUACUGCCAUCUGGGCACCCUGUGCACAGGGACCCAGGAGAAGGCGGGAUAUGCCCUUCUGGUUACUGCCCUCAAGGAAGGCUGGAACUCAGCCCUGAGGAGUGACUUCAGGUCCAAGACCAGAGGUAAGACCAACUUUUCUUCUCUAAGUGAUGUGCCUGGUAGACUCAGGUCACAUGCCCACAGGAACAGCUGAAAACCAGUAGACAGGAACGACUAAACAAUUGAAAGCAGAACACUCUGUUCCCAUAACUGGCUGAAAGAAAAACAGGAAAACAGGUCUACAGCACUCCUGACACAAAGGCCUAUAGGACGGUCUAACCACUGUCAGAAAUAGCAGAACAAGGUAACACCAGAGACAACCUGAUGGCGAGAGGCAAGCACAGGAACCAAGGAAAAGAAACCAAGACUACAUGGCAUCAUCAAAGCCCAAUUCUCCCACCAAAGCUAACACGGAAUACCCAAACACACCAGAAAAGCAAGAUCUAGAUUUAAAGUCACAUUUGAUCAUGAUGAUGGAGGACUUCAAGAAAGACAUAAAGAAUUUUCUUAGAGAAAUGCAGGAAGACACAAAUAAGUAGAAGCCUAUAGAAAGGAAACACAAAAAUCCCUGAAAGAAUUACAGGAAAACACAAGCAGGUGAAGAAAUUAAAAACAGAAAUAGAAGCAAUAAAGAAAGCCCAAAGGGAGACAAUCCUAGAUAUAGAAAACCAAAGGAAGAGACAAGGAGCCAUAGAUACAAGCAUCACCAACAGAAUACAAGAGAAGAGAGAUUCUCAGGAGCAGAAGAUUCCAUAGAGAUUAUCAAUAAACUUUCAAAGAUAAUGUAAAACGGAAAAAGCUACUGGCCCAAAACAUACAGGAAAUCCAGGACACAAUGAAAAGAUCAAACCUAAGGAUAAUAGGUAGAGAAGAGAGUGAAGACUCCCAACUCAAAGGACCAGUAAAUAUCUUCAACAAAUCCAUAGAAGAAAACUUCUCUAACCUAAAGAAAGACAUGCCCAUAAAUAUACAAGAAGCCUGCAGAACUCCAAAUAGAUUGGAACAGAAAAGAAACUCCUCCCAUCACAUAGUAGUCAAAGCAACAAAUGUACAAAACAAAGAAAAAAUGUUAAAAGCAUUAAGGGAAAAAGGUCAAUUAACAUAUAAAGGCAGACCUAUCAGAAUUACACCAGGCUUCUCACCAGAGACUAUGAAAGUCAGAAGAUUCUGGGCAGAUGUCAUACAGACCCUAAGAGAACAAAUGCCAGCCCAGGUUACUGUAUCCAGCAAAACUCUCAAUUAACAUAGAUGGAGAAAACCAAGAUAUUCCAUGACAAAACCAAAUUUACACAAUAUCAUUCUACAAAUCCACUGCUACAAAGGAUAAUAAAUGGCAAACCCCAACAUAAGGAGGCAAGCUACACCCUAGAAAAAGCAAGAAACUAGUUGUUUUGCAACAAAACAAAGAGAAGCACACAAACAUAAUCUCACAUCCAAAUACAAAGAUAACAAGAAGCAACAAUCACUAUUCCUCAAUAUCUCUCAACAUCAAUGGACUCAAUUCCCCAAUAAUAAGACACAGAUUAACAAACUGGAUACACAAUGAAGACCCAGCAUUUUGCUGCCUACAGGAAACACACCUCAGAGACAAAGACAGACACUACCUCAGAGUAAAAGGCUGCAAAACAAAUUUCCAAGCAAAUGGUCUGAAGAAGCAAGCUGGAGUAGCCAUUCUAAUAUCGAAUAAAAUCAAUUUUCAACCAAAAGUCAUUAAAAAAGAAAAGGAAGGACACUUCAUAUUCAUCAAAGGAAAAAUCCACCAAGAAUCCUAAAUAUCUAUGCUCCAAAUACAAGGACACCUACAUACAUAAAAGAAACCUUACUAAAGCUCAAAGCACACUUUGCUCCUCACACAAUAAUAGGAGAUUUCCACACCCCACUCUCAUCAGUGGACAGAUCAUGGAAACAGAAAUUAAACAGAGACAUAGACUAAGAGAACUCAUGAACCAAAUGGACUUAACAGAUAUUUAUAGAACAUUCUAUCCUAAAACAAAAUGAUAUACCUUCUUCUCACCACCUCCUGGUACUUUCUCCAAAAUUUACCAUAUAAUCGGUCAUAAAACAGGCCUCAACAGAUACAGAAAUAUACAAAUAAUCCCAUGCGGUUUAGACCACCAUGGGCUAAAGCUGGUCUUCAAUAACAAUAAAGAAAGAAUGCCCACAUAUACAUGGACGUUGAACAAUGCUCUACUCAAUGAUAACCUGGUUGAAGAAGAAAUAAAGAAAGAAAUUACAGACUUUGUAGAAUUUAAUGAAAGGGAAGGUACAACAUACCUAAACUUAUGGGACACAAUGAAAGCUGUGCUAAGAGGAAAAAUCAUAGCUCUGAGUGCCUGCAAAAAGAAACAGAGAGCAUAUAUGAGCAGCUUGAUAGCGCACCUUAAAGCUUAGAAGCGAAUACACCCAGGAGGAGUAGAAGGCAGGAAAUAAUCAAACUCAAAGCUGAAAUCAACCAAGUAGAAACAAAAAGGACUAUACAAAGAAUCAACAGAACCAAAAGCUAGUUCUUUGAGAAAAUCAACAAGAUAGAUAAACCCUUAGCCAGACUAACCAGAGGACACAGAGAGUGUGUCUGAAUUAACAAAAUCAGAAACGAAAAGGGAGACAUAACAACAGAAUCAGAGGAAAUUCAAAAAAUCAUCAGAUCCUACUACAAAAGCCUAUAUUCAACAAAACUUGAAAAUCUGGAGGAAAUGGACAAUUUCCUAGACAGAUACCAGGUACCAAAGUUAAAUCAGGAACAGAUAAACCAUUUAAACAACCCCAUAACUCCUAACGAAAUAAAAGCAGUCAUUAAAAGUCUCCCAACCAAAAAGAGCCCAGGUCCAGAUGGGUUCAGUGCAGAAUUCUAUCAGACCUUUAUAGAAGACCUCAUACCAAUAUUAUCCAAACUAUUCCACAAAAUUGAAACAGACAGAGCACUACUGAAUUCCUUCUAUGAAGCCGCAAUUACUCUUAUACCUAAACCACACAAAUACCCAACAAAGAAAAAGUUCUUCAGACUAAUUUCCCUUAUGAAUAGUGAUGCAAAAAUACUCAAUAAAAUUCUUGCAAACUGAAUCCUUGAGUACAUCAAAACAGUCAUUCAUCAGGAUCAAGAGGGCUUCAUCCCAGGUAUGUAGGAUGGUUUAAUAUACAGAAAACCAACAACGUAAUCCACUGUAUAAACAAACUGAAAGAUUAAAACCACAUGAUCAUUUCAGUAGAUGCUAAGAAAGCAUUUGACAAAAUUCAACACCCCUUCAUGAUAAAAGUCCUGGAAAGAACAGGAAUUCAACGCCCAUACCUAAACAUAGUAAAAUACCAUAUACAGCAAACCAGUAGCUAAUAUUAAACUAAAUGGAGAGAAACUUGAAGCAAUUCCACUAAAAUCAGGAACUAGACAAGGCUGCCCACUCUCUCCCUACUUAUUCAAUAUAGUUCUCAAAGGCCUAGCCAGAGCAAUCAGACAACAAAAGGAGAUUAAAUGGAUACAGAUUGGAAAGGAAGAAGUCAAAAUAUCACUAUUUGCAGAUAUGAUAGUAUAUUUAAGUGAUCCCAAAACUUCCACCAGAGAACUACUAAACCUGAUAAACCUCUUCAGCAAAGUGGCUGGGUAUAAAAUUAACUCAAAUAAAUCAGUAGCCUUCCUCUACACAAAAGAGAAACAAAUGGAGAAAGAAAUUAGGGAAAUGACACCCUUCACAAUACUCCCAAAUAAUAUAAAAUACCUUGGUGUGACUUUGACCAAGCAAGUAAAAGAUCUGUAUGAUAAGAACUUCAAGCCUCUGAAUAAAGAAACUGAAAAAGAUCUCAGAUGAUGGAAAGACCUCCCAUGCUCAUGGAUUGGCAGGAUUAACAUAGUAAAAAUGGCCAUUUUUCUGAAAGUGAUCUACAGAUUCAAUGCAAUCCUCAUAAAAUUUCCAAUUCAAUUCUUCAUAGAGGUAGACAGAACAAUUUGCAAAUUCAUCUGGAAUAACAAAAAGCCCAGGAUACCUAAAACUAUCCUCAACAAUAAAAGGACUUCUCGGGGAAUCACUAUCCCUGAACUCAAGUAGUAUUACAGAGCAAUAGUGAUAAAAGCUUUAUGAUAUUGGUCUAGAGACAGACAGAUAGACCAGUGGAAUAGAAUUGAAGACCUAGAAAUGAAUCCACACACCUAUGGUCACUUGAUUUUUUUUUUAAAGAUUUAUUCAUUUAUUAUAUAUAAGUACACUGUAGUCUUCAGACACACCAGAAGAGGGCAUUGGAUCUCUUUACAGAUGGUUGUGAGCCACCAUGUGGUUGCUGGGAAUUGAACUCAGGACCUCUGGAAGAGCAGUCCGGUGCUCUUAAUGGCUGAGCCAUCUCUCCAGCCCGGACACUUGAUUUUUGACAAAGGAGCCAAGACCAUCCAAUGAAAAAAAGAUAGCAUUUUCAGCAAAUGGUGCUGGUUCAACUGGAGGUCAACAUGUAGAAGAAUGCAGAUCGAUCCAUUCUUAUCACCCUGUACAAAGUUUAAGGCCAAGUGGAUCAAGGACCUCCACAUCAAACCAGAUACACUCAAACUAAUAGAAGAAAAAGUGGGGAAGCAUCUGGAACACAUGGGCACUGGAGAAAAUUUCCUGAACAAAACACCAAUGGCUUAUGCUCUAAGAUCAAGAAUCAACAAAUGGGAUCUCAUAAAACUGCAAAGCUUCUGUAAGGCAAAGGACACUGUUGUUAGGACAAAACACAACCAACAGAUUGGGAAAAGAUCUUUACCAAUUCUACAACUGAUAGAGGGCUUAUAUCCAAAAUAUAUAAAGAACUCAAGAAGUUAGACCGCAGGGAGACAACCCUAUUAAAAAAUGGGGUUCAAAGCUAAACAAAGAAUUCACAGCUGAGGAAUGCCAAAUGGCUGAGAAGCACCUUAAGAAAUGUUCAACAUCUUUAGUCAUAAGGGGAAUGCAAAUCCAAACAAACUUGAGAUUUCACCUCACACCAGUGAGAAUGGCUAAGUUCAAAAACUCAGGUGAUAGCAAAUGCUGGCAAGGAUGUGGAGAAAGAGGAACACUCCUCCAUUGUUGGUGGGAUUGCAGACUGGUACAACCAUUCUGGAAAUCAGUCUGGAGGUUCCUCAGAAAAUUGGACAUUGCACUACCCAAGGACUCCAACAAAGACACAUGCUCCACUAUGUGCAUAGCAGCCUUAUUUAUAGUAGCCAGAAGCCGGAAUGAACCCAGAUGCCCUUCAACAGAGGAAUGGAUACAGGAAAUGUUGUACAUCUACACAAUGGAAUACUACUCAGGUAUAAAAAACAAUGACUUUAUGAAAUUCAUAGGCAAAUGGGUGGAUCUGGAAAAUAUCAUUCUGAGUGAGGUAACCCAAUCACAGAAAAACACACAUGGUAUGCACUCAUUGAUAAGUGGAUAUUAGUUCAAAUGCUCGAAUUACCCAAGAUGCGCAGAAUACAUGAAACUCAAGAAACACGACCAAAGGGGGUUGGGGAUUUAGCUCACUGGUAGAGCGCUUGCCUAGGAAGCGCAAGGCCCUGGGUUCGGUCCCCAGCUCUGAAAAAAAAAAAAAAAACCAAAAAAAAAAAAAAAAAAAGAAAGAAAGAAAGAAACAUGACCAAAAUUCGAAUGCUUCACUCCUUCUUUAAAAGGGGAACAUGAAUACCCUUGGGAGGGAAUAAGUCACUACCCAAAGACUAUACAUGGACUGACCCUGGACUCUGACCUCAUAGGUAGCAAUGAAUAGCCUAGUAAGGGCACCAGUGGAAGGGGAAGCCCUUGGUCCUUCCAAGACUGAACCCCCAGUGAACGUGAUUGUUGUGGGGAGGGUGAUAAUGGGUGGAGGAUUGGGAGGGGAACACCCAUAUAGAAGGGGAGAGGGAGUAUUUGGGGGAUGUUGGCCUGGAAUCCGGGAAAGGGAAUAACAUUUGAAAUGUAAAUAAGAAAUACCCAAUUUAAUAAAGAUGGAAAAAAAAAAGAAUCCAAUAUGGUUUAGUCCAUGAAACGGGGUAGCUGAGGUGGUCUUCAGUAUAUGCUAGGAUCCUAAAGAAGUAUUUUCUAAUGCCAGUAAAGGAAUGGACUUUCUAGCAAAGUAAAAACAAGCAGGCAAAGAGCAAAAGUUUUCUUGUUCUAUGUCCUUAUAGUAGGCUUCUAGCAGAAGGUAUAGCCCAGGUUAGAUGGUAUACCCAGGCAAGCACAUCUGGAGUCAACUUUGGCUGUCUUCUUGCUUGUGAUUAAUCAUGAAUGAGUCUGCCAACAUCUGUCUUUGUUUUUAGUUGAGGCAGGAGUUAUAUCCUGCCAAGUUCCUCCACUUACACUUAUGUCCAUGACAGACUGUCCAAGGCUGAAGGAAAUGACCUAAGUCAAACAUAGAUACUGAGUACUAUAAACUCGCCAUGUAAGCAUUUGUGUUCAUUGUUUAACUUCUUGGAAUUAGUCGUGUUUUGUGUUGGCUUGCCUUUAAAAGGCACUGAGAAAAUGCAUUCACUGCUGGCGUGGUAUUUACCAGGAGCCCUUCUAUAUCUGAUUCUUGCAUCUUCUUUCUGCCAUUCUUAUAAUUAUCUUCACUCUCCCAGUUGUGGUUUUUGUGUUGACUGACCAGCAGGCUCCAUCAGUUAGAGGUAGGUUUUCCCAGCUUAAAUAAUCUGAAUUCAAGAUGUGACUUCCUACCUUAAUAUCGAGAUUAAAAGUGUGCCUUUCUCUAGCUAGGCUGAACCAGAUUAAAGGCUUGUCUUCCUACCUCAAAGAUCUAGAUAGGAAGGGGAUAUUCCCCUUUUAAAUGAAGUGAAAUCCUUCAUAGAUGUGCCCUCGAUUUUCGGACUUUGGUUAAUUCCACAUGUAGUCAAGUUGACAACCAAGAAUAGCUAUCACAGUUUCCUUCUCACAAUUACAAGUUAAGCAAAUAAUCACAAUAGCCAAAAAUAUGCAGAAAUAGUGAGCUCAAUAUAACUUUUUUUUUUUUUUGGUUCUUUUUUUUUCGGAGCUGGGGACCGAACCCAGGGCCUUGUGCUUCCUAGGCAAGCGCUCUACCACUGAGCUAAAUCCCCAACCCCUCAAUAUAACUUUUACAAAGAAUCCAUAUCCACUGGUUUUUCUUCCUGAAAAAUUUUUUUAAGUUCUCCAUUUUAGUUACUGAGACUUUACUGGGCAAGACAAACUUGAUCUUAGGUACAAAAAUGGAAUUACCAUAGUCAAUUACAGCCCUUGUCACAUUCCCCACUGCUGCUAUGGGCAUACAAAUCAUGGGCUCAUCCUGGGAAAGAAGUUUAUAUUGUCUCCCUGUUUCAUAAAAAGGUCUAUCCCUUUAAGUUUUGUAAGACUAUCUUUGAGAGAGAGUUGACUUGACUCUCUAACUUGGAAAUACAAUUCUCCAAAUGUCCUAGAUCGAAAUCUAUCUUGAAACUGAGUCUCCUAAAAUUUUAGUUCCCAAUAGUCAAGGCUGAGGUGCCUAGGGUGAUUGUACUGAUUAUUCUUGUCAUUACUAGGAUCAGGACCAGAAAUGGGCUUUUUUAACCAUAAUUAACAUUGAAUCAAGGCCCAUAUGAGCUCUUCUCUCUUCUCCAUUCAUUAUAGACAUUAUAUGUCUGUCUAUAUGUCUAAAAUGGGUAAAAUAAUGUCUAUAAUAGAAGGUAGCAUUUUUUGGGGAUAGCAGGCCAGUAUAUAUAGAGAAUGGGAGGUAUGAUUUUCCAAUGAAUCAGAGGAAGGAAUUUAGUCAAACCAAUAGUCUAAGCCAGAGAGACUCAGGGAUAUUGAAGAAUAUGUUUUCCUUUAGUCCAGCACUCAUUUGUUCAACAUUUGAACAAAUCUUAUUAUAAGGUAAGAAAGCAAGAUUAAAAUAUGAAGAUGUGAUACAGGUUCCUUCUUGCAGAUUUUUUUUUUAUUAACUUGAGUAUUUCUUAUUUACAUUUCGAGUGUUAUUCCCUUUCCCGGUUUCCAAGCCAAUAUCCCCUUCCCCCUCCCCCUCCCCUUCUUUAUGGGUGCUCCCCUUCCCAUCCUCCUCCCAUUGCCGCCCUCCCCCCAACAAUCAUGUUCACUGGGGGUUCAGUCUUAGCAGGACCCAGGGCUUCCCCUUACACUGGUGAUCUUACUAGGAUAUUCAAUGCUACCUAUGAGGUCAGAGUCCAGGGUUAGUCCAUGUAUAGUCUUUAGGUAGUGGCUUAGUCCCUGGAAGCUCUGGUUGCUUGGCAUUGUUGUUCAUAUGGGGUCUCGAGCCCCUUCAAGCUCUUCCAGUUCUUUCUCUGAUUCCUUCAACGGGGGUCCUGUUCUCAGUUCAGUGCUCUGCUGCUGGCAUUUCUUGCAGAUUUUUUAAUUUUAGGUUAUUUCCAUUCACAACUGGGGAGUGUUUGAUUGGACCCUACUCCUAUAAAGAGAGGUGGAUAUGGGGAUACAGGCAUAACCAGCAGUCCUACCCUAAUUCUGGAUCAGAAGUGUUUAAAAGUAAUAGACUUGUACUAUCAUGUCUAGCAUACGAGAAGGAGCUCUGACUGGAUUGGGAGUUUGAGUCUAAACUCUCUGGUAAUGAAGACAAGCAAGCAUGGAAAGUGGGGUAGGAUCUCUAGAGCUUUGGUUCACUUUGGGGUUUGGGAUUAGGAGGAACAUACCAGAAUUGGACCCAAGAGUCACCCUCUUGGGUAGCUAUUUUUUAUAGAUAGUAAAUGAAUCUCCUGGGUAAUUUCCACUGGCAUAAAGCCAGAUUUUCCACAUUCUCCUUAUGACCUAAUAGUGGUGCCUAUCCUAGCCCAGGCCUUGACCUUAAUGAUCAUGGGGUCACAUCUUUCAUAAUUAUAGGUUGAAGGGGUUUUUCCCUUCCUAUCUGGAUAUAGGGGUCUUUUUGUUCCAGGAAUAUUCUUUUUUACAACCCUGGGCAGCACAGUGAUAAUUACCAUUUCCUUGACAGGAGGAUGAGCCCUUUGCCAGGCAUGCAUAGUAUUAUGGCAAUAUUGCCACAACUUAUCCUCUUAGACCCCCUUUUUAUCCUAGCCCCACAAGAGGCAGGGUCAUAAGAGCACAAAGAUCCACCAGGAAAGUGGUUAGCCAUCCAAAGUCAAGUUGAAGAGAAUCUUUCCAAUUUCUCAGUUCCCAAAUUCAAAUGUCUGAACUAUGAAGGUUAUAAGGUGAGAAAAAAAGAAAUAUGAUACCCACAUUUAAGGGUUUCAAGUCAACCUUAUUGUGAGGUAGUUGGAGAUGCUGAUAGUGGUCCAUCCAUCAGUCAUUGUUCAACAUGGUCUCUUUCAUUAGGAAUAACGAAUCCAAGAGAUAACCAAAUACUUUGACAGUGGUUGUGUUGGUCACUAUAACUACAUAGUGUCUUCCAGAUAGGUUUCAAGGUUUGGGCAGGGAUUCUUUUUAUUCAAACAGGCUUUCAUGGUUGGAACUUGUGGGGAGGUUCAGAGGUAAUAAACGGCAGACUUUCCAUCAUGGUCCAGUUAAUGGCCUGGCGUGCUUCCUGCAAAGACUUGAGAAGGGAAUGAUUAGACAUUUCUUCCUGGGGAUAUCUUGGAAUUUGGGGAGGAUGGGAGGUGGUAUCCCAAACAUAAUUUUACGAGGAGUAAGCCCCUUCUAGUAAGGAGGAGUACAUUAAGCCAUGAGCAGGGCAAAGGGGAAGAGGUUGGCCUAAAUUUUUCUCACUUCCAAGACCAAUUUGGUCAAAGUGUCUUAAAAUUCUAUUCAUCCUUUCUCCUUAACCAGAGCUAUAGGGCCCAUAUGCACAAUGUAAUUCCCAAUUAACAUUUAAUACUUUUGCCAGAUCUUGAGGUACCUUGGCUGUAAGAGCUGGGCCUCUGUCUGGCAUAGCCAUAUCUGAUGGGUAUAGUGAAAGUCAUGAAACCAGCACAGCUAUUUGACAAAGAUCCAGCAAAGCUGAGUUGCACAUUGUUAUUGUGCCAUCUUUUGCUUUUUGGUUUGCAUACUUGGGGAGCAUUUAAUAUUUGUGUAACUCGGAUAUAUCAGAUUAAUGAAAAAUUUCAAUGAAUCUUUUAUGCUUUCUCCCAGGAGUACUGCCUAUAAGACUUCCCCAGGAAAGUCCUGAGAAUAAUAGUAUUGCAGCUAGUUUUGUUACCCUACCUUAUACUCCUGGGUGGGCCACACUAACCACCCAGGAGCUAUCUUGGAUCUACAAAUAAAAUACACACACACACACACACACACACACACACACACACACACACAGGCACUCUCAAGUGCACAGACCCCAAUUAAUUUUAAAAUACAACUAAACUAAAAGCAGAUUUAGAGGUUUUAAGCUAGGAGUAAGGGGAAGGGUUUAGAAGAGCUCAGCCACUGAGCCAGUAAGACAGGUUAAAAAUGAGCCAAUGUGUGUGUGUGUGUGUGUGUGUGUGUGUGUGUGUGUGUGUGUGUGUGUAUGUUUUGUCUGUUGAUCCAAAGAGAGCCUGGGUGGAUGACUGAAAAACUGUCCCCUCCCCGCCCUGCCCAGGAGCUCAAAGCAGUAAAACCAAAAACUCCAGCUACAUACUACCUCUCCCACUUUCAGAGAAAUCACCUUAUUUGACCCUGCUUAGAAAUCCUCCUUAUGCCCUGGAGGUUGUAACGCACAUUAAGAUGCCAGGGACCUCUUUAUGAGACUUUAGCUCUACAGUAUUCUUGAAACACCUGCCCCUGUACAUAUAUAGGAACAAGAUAAUCGGAUAAAAAUAAACUUAAAAGGGGCAUUAAGAUUUGGUGGGAUAAAAGAGUUGCUAGUAUAUCAGAUUACAAGCCUCCUCCUAUUAUAUACUUAAGCAAUUGCAUGGCAUGUGAGAUUAGGGACCACAUUUGGUAAGCCCCUUGAAGGAAGGAUACAGCAAGAAACUUAGAUAGGCUAGAGUUACCUCUGCCAUACACAGGGACUUUGAUUGAAAGGCAAAAAAUGGUGUGAAAAAAUGAUAAAAGAAUGAGGUAUAAGGGGGUUGGGGAUUUAGCUCAGUGGUAGAGCGCUUGCUAGGCCCUGGGUUCGGUCCCCAGCUCCGAAAAAAAAAGAAAAGAAAAAAAAAAAAAGAAUGAGGUAUCAGGACCUCUCUUUCUUAGAAAAGUUAGCUUCUGCAGGACCGUUGUGGUGUCAUAUAACUAAGGGGAAAAAGUAUCAGGAUUAAACAUAUAAAUAAAUUCUAUAAGAUAUAAAAUAUGAACUAUGCCAGAAAUUGAAUAAGAAUUGCAGCAGUUUGGGCCUGAAGCUUUUCCUUGGGCCUAUUGACAACUGGAAUUCUGAUCACUAAAAGUUAAUAAUACACUGCUCAGGACAUGGUGAUCUGCCUGGGCUGGCUUGGAGAUUUUCUUUCUGUUUAGCACCUCUGAAACUGCAAGAGCUGCCAGUCUGAGAUCGGGCUGUUAUUUAACAUAUAUCCUUGCUUGGCAAAAUAUGCCUCUGGAUUCUUAAAACUUGAGUUAUGUGGUUGAUGAGGGAAAGUGAUUGCAAAAGCUAGUUUUGGACCUUCAGAGAGGCGGACACGCCUGGGAAACCAGAAGAGACUGCACUCUGUGCACAUCCAGACGCCAGAGGAAAACACCAAACACCAUCUGGAACCCUGGUGCACGGAGGCUCCCGGAAAGAGCGGCACAGAUCUUCCCGGUUGCUGCCACAGCGGAGAGGACUUAGGCAGUACCCCACGAGCAAACUUGAGCCUUGGAACCGCAGGUAGGACCAACUUUUCCCCUGCAAGAAACCUGCCUGGUGAACUCAGGACACACAGAGGCAAAAUUCCUCUAGGACCGGGCACUUCCUGUGUUUACCGGAAGUCCCACACCCGCGGAUCCCGGCCCGCAGCAGCUCUCUGCUCCCAAACCCCGUGGGAGAGAGACCUCACCACCUGAUCAGGUGGGCACUCCUGAGGCUGCAGAGCGGAGGAGACCACCAACACUGCCCACCCCUGCCCACAUCCCUGGCCCAAGAGGCAACUGUAUAAGGCCUCUGGGUUCCCGUAGGGGAGGGCCCAGGAGCGGCAGGACCCCUGCGCCUGAGACACCGCCGGAACCUGAAGGAAACAGACCGGAUAAACAGUUCUGUGCACCCAAAUCCCGUGGGAGGGAGAGCUAAACCUUCAGAGAGGCAGACACGCCUGGGAAACCAGAAGAGACUGCACUCUGUGCACAUCCAGACGCCAGAGGAAAACACCAAACGUCAUCUGGAACCCUGGUGCACGGAGGCUCCCAGAAAGAGCGGCGCAGAUCUUCCCGGUUGCUGCUGCCUCGGAGAGGACUUAGGCAGUACCCCACGAGCAAACUUGAGCCUUGGAACCACAGGUAGGACCAACUUUUCCCCUGCAAGAAACCUGCCUGGUGAACUCAAGACACAGGCCCACAGGAACAGCUGAAGACCUGUAGAGAGGAAAAACUACACGCCCGAAAGCAGAACACUCUGUCCCCAUAACUGGCUGAAAGAAAACAGGAAAACAGGUCUACAGCACUCCUGACACACAGGCUUAUAGGACAGUCUAGCCACGGUCAGAAAUAGCAGAACAAAGUAACACUAGAGAUAAUCUGAUGGCGAGAGGCAAGCGCAGGAACCCAAGCAACAGAAACCAAGACUACAUGGCAUCAUCGGAGCCCAAUUCUCCCACCAAAAUAAACAUGGAAUAUCCAAACACACCAGAAAAGCAAGAUCUAGUUUCAAAAUCGUAUUUGAUCAUGAUGCUGGAGGGCUUCAAGAAAGACGUGGAGAACUCCCUUAGAGAACAAGUAGAAGCCUACAGAGAGGAAUCGCAAAAAUGCCUGAAAGAAUUCCAGGAAAACAUAAAUAAACAAGUAGAAACCCAUAGAGAGGAGACACAAAAAUCCCUGAAAGAAUUCCAGGAAAACACAAUCAAACAGUUGAAGGAAUUAAAAAUGGAAAUAGAAGCAAUCAAGAAAGAACACAUGGAAACAACCCUGGACAUAGAAAAUCAAAAGAAAAGACAAGGAGCUGUAGAUACAAGCUUCACCAACAGAAUACAAGAGAUGGAAGAGAGAAUCUCGGGAGCAGAAGAUUCCAUAGAAAUCAUUGACUCAACUGUCAAAGAUAAUGUAAAGCAGAAAAAGCUACUGGUCCAAAACAUACAGGAAAUCCAGGACUCAAUGAGAAGAUCAAACCUAAGGAUAAUAGGUAUGGAAAAGAGUGAAGACUCCCAGCUCAAAGGACCAGUAAAUAUCUUCAACAAAAUCAUAGAAGAAGUGUAACUUUGGGGCUGGGGAUUUAGCUCAGUGGUAGAGCGCUCACCUAGGAAGCACAAGGCCCUGGGUUCGGUCCCCAGCUCCGAAAAAAAGAACCAAAAAAAAAAAAAUCAUAGAAGAAAACUUCCCUAACCUAAAAAAGGAGAUACCCAUAGGCAUACAAGAAGCCUACAGAACUCCAAAUAGAUUGGACCAGAAAAGAAACACCUCCCGUCACAUAAUAGCCAAAACACCAAACGCACAAAAUAAAGAAAGAAUAUUAAAAGCCGUAAGGGAAAAAGGUCAAGUAACAUAUAAAGGCAGACCUAUCAG